GAUGAACGCUAGCGGCAGGCUUAAUACAUGCAAGUCGUGGGGCAGCAUGAGUAGCAAUACUUGAUGGCGACCGGCAAACGGGUGAGGAACACGUACACAACCUUCCUUCAAGCGGGGAAUAGCCCAGAGAAAUUUGGAUUAAUACCCCAUAAUAUAUUUGAUAAGGCAUCUUAUUAAUAAUUAAAGCUUCGGCACUUGAUGAUGGGUGUGCGGCUGAUUAGAUAGUUGGCGGGGUAACGGCCCACCAAGUCUACGAUCAGUAGCUGAUGUGAGAGCAUGAUCAGCCACACGGGCACUGAGACACGGGCCCGACUCCUACGGGAGGCAGCAGUAAGGAAUAUUGGACAAUGGACGAAAGUCUGAGUCCAGCCAUGCCGCGUGAAGGAUUAAGGUCCUCUGGAUUGUAAACUUCUUUUAUAU
rnacentral:rRNA from 1 species